rnacentral:lncRNA from 1 species
CCCUCCGCACCCCCCCUCCCCCAACUCUCCACUCCCCGGCAAGCUCCAUUCAUCUGCCCUCUAGGAGGACCCAAGGUGACAGCCCCCGCCCUCACCUCUCUCCAGGUAACAGGUCACUGCCUGCCGCCAUGCCCCCCCCACCCCAGGAGUUUGACCUUCCUCUCCAACGUUUCCUCUCACCCUCUUCUAUCAGAUACUUCUCUCACCUCCCAAAACAACUUCUUCUGACUGGUUCCUGUCGCAGCCUCUGCCGUCUGACAACUUGGAUCCCCUUUUUCCAGCCCCUCACACAUCCAGUCUUUCCUUCCUGUUCUCUUAUCGGCCUCUCCCUCUUGGCAACUGCUCUUCAUUUCUGUUUGAGUAAUAGCUUCCAAGUUCACCUGUCCUUCUCUACCCAUCUCACCUACUCCUGCUUCUAAAAGGCACAGAUCCGUCACCCUUCCCAGCUGGCUUUGGUUUCCUGGUGCCAUCCUAGUCUUGCACUAGGGCUUCCCUGGUUGGCCGGGGUGGUUGCGGUGGAGUAUUGGGUGGCCUGUGUCCUCCCGCCUCUCAGGCCUCCCUUUAUUCCUUGUCGUGCAUGCUGGCUUGUGUGUCCAAAGGAGUGACAUGACAGGUGUAAGCCAGUUUUGCUGGGGAGAAGUGAGUGGCACGCUGAGCUGCUAUGCGCUGCAGGAUCCUUGUGUAUUUAAGCCUCUGACUGAGCCUGGGGUGGGAUCUGUUAUCCCCAUUUUCUGAUGUGAAAACGAGUGUUCAGAGAGGUGCUGUUUUGUGAGGUUAAACAGCUAAUUAGUGGCAAAACCAAGUGUAUCUGAUUGCAAAAUCAAUGUUCUCUCCACCCCAAGGAUCCUUGGCCUGGGAGAUGGCCCUAUCCACAGGCAGGCCUAGGCCAGCACAGACUGACUCUGCCCUGGGCCGUCUUGCCUAGUUCUUUAAUCAUUUCUUCAGUCACUCACUUGGUCCAUUAAUGACUGGCAGCCCUGAGCUAGGCACGGAGGGGGUACCAGUGGACAAAAGCAAUGCCAUCUCCAUGGACCUGAUAGGCUAAUGAGGAAUGAUGCUAAUCCCACAGUAAUUCUUCGAUUGCCUGGUGUGAUCAGAGAAUGGACCUGGAGGAGAAGGAUUUGGGGAGAGUUUUCUAGAGAAAGUGACAUUUACACUGGGAGCGAAUAAAUGCGCAGAGCUUUAACCAGGUCACAUGUGGUGAGAAGAACAUUCCAGACAGAGGGAACAGAGUGUGUGAAGGCUCUGACGGGUAAGGGCUUGGCAUAGUCAAGGGACAGAAAUAAAACCGAUGUGACCAGAGGCUGAAGGGCAAGGAGGGGGAAGUGGCAGGAGGCUGGAGAUCAGCCAGGGCCGCUGUGGUCAGAUUUGAGACUUGAUUCGAAAAACAACGGGAAGCCAGGGAGUGGAUUCUAGCAGGGGUGUGGCGUGGUCAGAUUUGCAUUUUUGGAAGAGCAUCCUGGCUGCAGUGCCAAGAAGGAGUGGAGGGAGCCCAAGUGGGUGUGAGGAGACUAGGCAGGAGGCUACCUUGUAGCCCAGGGGAGACGAUAACCUUGUUAAUAAAGACAACAACCAGAGGGAAGGGAAGGUUCAACUGGGGAGAUUUCUAGCUACUAAUGCUGGGACUCAACAUUGCACUGGGAGCCCAAUUUUAUCUUGGAAGCUGAUGAUGUUUGCUGAAGGGGCAGGAUGUUUCGCCAUGGAUAGAACUAAAGCUGAGUGCGGGAAAUGAGAGAUCGGGGCCAGAGUACUAGAGACAGCCAGGCUUGCCAUGGCUCAUGGAAGCCAACCUGCGUUGUAACCGUGUCCUCUAAAGAGGAGCCUUAGGGUGUGUGUGGCCUUUCCUCCCAGCACCACUGAGAGCAUCUCUCCUGGCCAGCUCUGCUACCCAACCAACACUAUGGUUUAACGUGGCCUUGUUUUGCUUCGCUUUACCUGCCCCUCAGAGAAGACUGAGUCUAAAGUUGUUCCUACCCCAGCACGCACCUGUUACCCCAAGAGCCCUGGUGUGGCCAUGUUUCAGGCCUGAUAUCUGGACGCCCACCUGAGAAUGUGGGAAAAAAGCUAAAAACUGACACCACACAUAUAAAUCAAUGGCCCAAACUUGACCAGUAGCCAUGGUCACCCAGUACUCCAGUUGCUUGUCAGCUUCUGGAAGCUAGUGAAGAGGUGCCUUUUUGUUGGGGGAGAGAGAUAGAGGAGAAAUCCCAACCAGAGCAUCCUUUCAGAGAGAAGCCCUCUUCUUAAGGCCUGAAAGGAGAAAAGACAUUCCAGUUUUUCUCUCUGGUCAAGCCCUUCUAGCAACACCCCACUACCAUCACCACCAUGCUGCCUUGUUCAUCUCCCUCCUCUCCUCCUGCUGGACCAGGCAGCGAUGCUGACACCUGUUGAGGCUAGAACCUGGCUCCUGUAAUGUGAGGACCAGGAGGGGCAUUGAUGGGGAAGGGGCUUGUCAUGAGCUAGCUCUGUGGCUGGGGCUCAUUUCUGGAUGGUGCCUCCUCAGAGUCCUUCUUCCCACGUGUGGUCCUUGAGGGGGAGCCCGCUGAGCUCUGCUGUUAAAUUCCAGGGGCAAGGCUUGGCCCCACUGGUUUCCCUUGUUCCUCUCUUUGCCACACCCCCUCUCUGUACACACUUACACACAUUCACACUCACAGGAAAGCACACACACACACACACACACGAGAAACAAGUCGAACUUGUUUGAGCCAACACACUGUGGGGAUGAGACAAGGUCUGCUGUAGCCUUGGACUUGAGAAAGUGAACGCUUGCCUUGACAAAGUGACUCAGUGAUGGCUUAGAAGUCUCCUCACCCUGACUCUCAGGGUUCCUCACUCCAGGCUUAGGCAAGAGCAGCUCACAUUGCUAGUGGAGCAUGAAGUCCAUUGAUCGAGCUGCAGCCGGCAUUGUUUUUUUAAAGAAGUAGGAAAGGAAGGAACUUCAGGUCCAGGUCUCCCAAGACUGGAAGUCCUGUGUUUCCCAGACUUAGGUCAUCCAUGAAUCACUGUCCCAGUUUUUUUUUUUUUUUUCAAAUUGCAUUCAACUUGAACUCUUUAGUAUUUGUCUUUAAGUGGACUCAUUUUUUGUUUUACCAUUUACUCACCCUAGGCAAUAACACCAAAGAUAUCACAGGUUGUACACGCACUUUAAAAAUAGAGCUGCUGGGAGUUCCCAUCGUGGUGCAGUGGUUAACGAAUCCGACUAGGAACCAUGAGGUUGCAGGUUUGACCUCUGGCCUCGCUCAGUGGUUUAAGGAUCCGGUGUUGCCCUGAGCUGUGGUGUAGGUCACAGAUGCGGCUCAGAUCUGGCAUUGCUGUGGCUCUGAUAUAGGCUGGCCGUAACAGCUCCAAUUCGACCUAGCCUGGGAACCUCCAUAUGCUGUGGGUGCGGCCCUAAAAAAGACAAAAGACAAGAGAAUAAAUAAAUAAAAAUUUAAAAAAUAAUAAAAAUAGGAGUUCCCAGGCUAGGGGUCAAAUUGGAGCUGCAGCUGCUGGCCUGCACCACAGCCACAGCAAGCGCCUGAUCUGGGCCUUGUCUGUGACCUACACCACAGCUCAGGGCAACGCCCAAUCCUUAACCUACUGAGAGAGGCCAGAAAUCAAACCUGAGUCCUCUUGGAUGCUAGUUGGGAUCACUAACCACAGAGCCACGACGGGAACUUCGUGAAUGUCUUUUUAUGUAUUUGUAAACUAUUUGCACCUUUUUUGUUAACCGCCUAUUCAGGUCCUUUGCCCAUCUUUGUAAUGUAUAGUCCAUCUUUUUCUUAUUUAUAUCAUAAUAAUAGAUAAUAAAGAAUAUUAGCCCAUUUUCCAUCAGACAUAUUACCACUUGUUUCCAGAUCUCAUUUGUUGUUUAGCUUAACAUGUUUUCUUCCAUUUAAACCUUUCUGUUUUCCAGGUAGGUAAAGCUAUCAUCUUAUUAUUCUUAGAAAGACCACCCUACUUUUUGAUUUUAUACAUAAAAGCAAAAAAUAUCAUAGUAGGAGUUCCCAUCGAGGCUCAGUGGAAAUGAAUCUGACUACCAUCCGUGAGGAUGCAGAUUUGAUCCCUGGCCUCGCUCAGUGGAUUAAGGAUCUGGCAUUGCUAUGGCUGUGGUGUAGGCUGACAGCUGUAGUUCCAAUUUGACCCCGAACCUGGGAACCUCCAUAUGCCACAGGUGUGGCCUAAAAAAAUAAAUAAAUAAAUAAAAUUAAAAAAAUUUUUUUUUUCGUUUUCUCAUACUUCAGUGUUUCUGUUUGUUUUUUGCUUAAAUGUUUUAUCUAUCUGGAGGGUUUUUUUUGGUGAAAAGAACAAAAUAGAGAUUAAUUUAGGUUUAUAUUUUUCCAGAUGACCAACUGGUUAUUCCAGUAGAUUUAUGGAAUAAACUGUCUUUUUCCACUGAUUUAAAAAAAAAAAACAAACCCUUAUUACACAUCAAACAUCCACUGGCAUAUUUUAGUCUCUUCUUGGACUCUGUACUAAUGAAAUCAUUCAUUUUUAUUAAGUUUUAGCCAUUAGUUUUUUUUUUUUUAGUCUUAUUGGAGUAUAGUUGACUUAGAAUGUUGUAUUAGUUUCAGGUGUACAACAAAGUGAAUCAGUUAUAUACACAUAACUGAUAUAUAUGAACGAAUAUGUAUAUAGUCAUAUAUCCAUUCUUUUUUCCCAUGUAGGUUAUUACAGACUAUUGAGUAGAUUUCCUUGUGCUAUACAGUAAGUCCUUAUUAAUUAUUUUAUGUACAGUAGCAGCAUAUGGAGGUUCCCAGGCUAGGGGUCAAAUCAAAGCUACAGCUGCCAGCCUACGCCACAGCCACAGCAACGCCAGAUCUGAGCUGCAUCUGUGACCUCCACCACAGCUCAGUGCAAUGCCAGAUCCUUAACCCACUGAGCAAGACCAGGGAUCAACACACAUCCUCAUGGAUACUAGUCGGAUUUAUUUCCACUGCUGCACAACAGGGACUCCCCAGGAGUGUGUAUAUGUUAUUCCCAUCCUUCUAAUAUAUCCCUAACCACUCCCCCCACCGCCGCCCUCAGCUGCUUUCCCUGUGGUAACCAUAAGCUUGAUUUUGAAAUCUCUGAGUUUGUUUCUGUUUUAUAAAUAAGUUCUUUUGUACUGUAUAUUAGACUCCACAUAUAAGUGAUAUCAUAUGGUAUUUGUCUUUCUCUGACUUACUUCACUUAGUAUGAUAAUCUCUAAGUCCAUCCGUGUUGCUGCAGAUGGCAUCAUUUUGUUCUUUUUUAUAGCCAUUAGUUUUUGGUUUUGUUUCCCACCUUCCUUCUGUUCUAUUCCAGCCAGGAUUCUGUUCCACCAGAGAAAGCAAAGGGCAGGACGAGAGUUGAGCGUCAACUCUGGGCCAUGUUGCCGGCCUUGGAGAAACAGGGUCACGUCUGCCUUUGCAGAGCUGUGGCUGCCCAGCGUGCCCUGACCCCGAGGUUACGGGGCUGGAGUAGGGAGAAAGCAUCUCAGGGAAGCCCAACAACCUAUGGGAAGCCCAUGGGAAGAGGGUGCACAGUGGGUUAUGAAAUGGUAGUGAUUCCAGCAGGAGAUGGCGGGAUAGGGAGGGGUGUGGAGGGAACAGCCUUGCCCCUGGAACUCAGCCUGGGGACAGGUCCUGUGUACUUUCUGCUUUGGGUCCACAGCCUGUGGUGGGAGAAGGGGCCUACAGGUUGAGUUCUAACUGUGUGUGAACAGCCCGAGGCUGGGUGAGCAGGCGGGAGCCCCAGGGAACCUGGCACCUCUCUUGCAAAGCCCUGCAAAUCUAAAACUUUUUGUCCCUUUGGCCAAGGGAACUGGAUACUUAAACCCCCUCCACUUCCUUUCACCAAAAUCAAAUGAGGAGUGGAGUUCCCGUCGUGGCUUAGUGGAAACGAAUCCUACUAGUAACCAUGAGGUUGUGGGUUUGAUCCCUGGCCCUGCUCAGUAGGUUAAGGAUCCGUUGUUGCCAUGAGCUGUGGUGGAGGUCACAGAUGCGGCUUGGAUCUGGCGUAGCUGUGCCCAUGGUGUAGGCCGGCAGCUGUAGCUCUGAUUAGAUUGCUAGGCUGGGAAUCUCCGUAGGCCGUGAGUGCGGCUCUAAAAAGCAAAAAGAAAGAAAGAAAGAAAGGAAGGAAG